CCUUAUGGCCAAAAUUGAGAGAAAAAAAAGAGAGAAAAAACUUCCAAAUUCCAUCUUGAUUUGUGAAAAAUCCAAACACCAACCCUAAACCACAGCGAUUACUCUUGAGUUGAGCUUGAAGGGAAGCUUUUGGUGGAGUUACUUGAGAAAGAAAGCCCUUGUUUUGUAUUUUUCCUUGGAGGUUUGAAUGGUUUAACGGUGGGAACGAGCACGACCCGGAGUCGAACGUUUAGCUUUGAUCUACUUUAAAAGCCUUUGGCUGAACUGGGCCCUUGCCCUUCGUUGCCACUCGAUUCGAGCCAGA